rnacentral:rRNA from 1 species
GCCUACGGGAGGCAGCAGUGAGGAAUAUUGGUCAAUGGACGCAAGUCUGAACCAGCCAUGCCGCGUGCAGGAUGACGGCUCUAUGAGUUGUAAACUGCUUUUGUACGAGGGUAAUAUCGGAUACGUGUAUCUGCUUGAAAGUAUCGUACGAAUAAGGAUCGGCUAACUCCGUGCCAGCAGCCGCGGUAAUACGGAGGAUCCAAGCGUUAUCCGGAUUUAUUGGGUUUAAAGGGUGCGCAGGCGGUCUGUUAAGUCAGCGGUCAAAGCCCGGGGCUCAACCCCGGCCCGCCGUUGAAACUGGCAGU